rnacentral:rRNA from 1 species
UUAUCCGGAAUUAUUGGGCGUAAAGAGGGAGCAGGCGGCAGCUAAGUCUGUGGUGAAAGACUGAAGCUUAACUUCAGUAAGCCAUAGAAACCGGGCAGCUAGAGUGCAGGAGAGGAUCGUGGAAUUCCAUGUGUAGCGGUGAAAUGCGUAGAUAUAUGGAGGAACACCAGUGGCGAAGGCGACGAUCUGGCCUGCAACUGACGCUCAGUCCCGAAAGCGUGGGGAGCAAAUAGGAUUAGAUACCCUAGUAGUCCACGCCGUAAACGAUGAGUACUAAGUGUUGGGAGUCAAAUCUCAGUGCUGCAGUUAACGCAGUAAGUACUCCGCCUGAGUAGUACGUUCGCAAGAAUGAAACUCAAAGGAAUUGACGGGGGCCCGCACAAGCGGUGGAACAUGUGGUUUAA